CCCUCUCGCCCCGCUUCGCGCAUGCGCAAAAUGCCGGCGGGGAAGGGGGCGUCUUCGUCCCGGCGCUCUGGUGUCCAUGGGCCGGCCAGGACCGCGACUGGCGGUGGGAAGCUGGGAACUGGAGCCUCGGGUGAAGAUGGAGAAAAGAGCGAGGAUCAGUUUACCUUGAAAUACGUUACAGAGGAGAAAUGGAAGGAUUUUUUGAAAAACACACUGAAGAUCUACCCUGGAACCAAUCAACUGAGGCCGGAGAAGGCAGAAUCCUGGAAGACCAUGGCCAUGUAGCUGGGAUGGGACAGCACUUGAGGAAGAAGGGGCAGCAAAGUCUCUAGAAAGCCACUAAACAACAAAAAAAAAAUCCAAUGUAUUGAGCCAGGGUGCUCAAAGGUAAAUCAUCAGAAGUAAUCAUUUGCAAGGGAACAUAGUGGGUUCGACUUAGACUAGUUUAGUUUGUGCUGGCCACUUAUGUAGGUGGACAUAUCCACCAGAGAAGUGGGGAUGAGAGGGCUAUGCACCCAGAUAGAGGCAAAGUUUGUAAAUCUAGGAGUCACAUCAGAGCAGUGGUAAUUGAAGCAAAGAGAGUGGAUGUUUGUUGAAGAAGAAAGUAUGGAAAGUGCUCUAAAAAAUGCAAGUAAGAAUGGGAAUGCUUAGUAGAGGAGCUGGGGAAAGGAACUGGGAAAUACUGCUGUAUUUGGAGAGCAGAAAAAGGAAUAGGCAGUAAUAACAGAAGCAGAGAAGCAGCCACCAGGAACUUUUCCUGAAAAAGGAGGAAAAAGGAGAUCCAAAGACAAGAACACUGCAAGAUGAAGUGAUGACAACAUCAUCCUAUACCAGAGGAGGGCCAAAAAAUGUAACCACUGACAUCUACUGUUCAGCACAGUGUGGGAAGGAAUAUCCAUACUAAUAAUGGUGUAGGGAAUAGGGAGGGCUGUGGCUCUGGAUGUAGCUUGCAGGUGUAGAUGAGUCUUUGAAAAGGUUCAGUGGUGAAGGUAAGGAGUGAAAUGGGAUGGAAAAAAGCAUUUUGCAAUAAAGGUGCCUAAAGUCUGCUCUAGGCCCAGAGGAGAGAGCCAAUAAAAAAGGAGAAAUCACAUGUGGAGAGCUCUGGGAAGGAAGGCCUGGUAGCUCCUUACCUAUUUGGAACCUGGCUCUCCAGCAACCUCCACUAUCUGGAAUACAGUGAAGAACCAAGAAGCAAAAAUAGUUUGAACAACGUACAUCAGUGUCAUUAUACUUGUUCAAUUGAGUCUAUGGGUUGUACAUAAAAGAAAAUUGAUUCAUUUGCAAAAUUGAAUUAAUCUUACUCUUCUCUAGAUCAGAGAUGAAGAAAUGUUUCUCCCUAGCUCUGG
rnacentral:lncRNA from 1 species